ensembl:lncRNA
AAUGCAGAUAAGGAAGAUUAUAGUAAUGCACAAAUGUACUCGCCGUUACGUUUUGCAUAGUGUACAGAGACUUCAAAGGGGUUUGAGGUUUCAAAGAGAAAACAUGGUUGUUAUUGCUGAGUCUGUUCUUUAAAUCAUUUUCACUCAAAAGCAAAUCACAGACUAAAGUUUAUCGUAAAAGUUCAGAUUUCAAAGAACGUAAAAAUGGAGAUGUCUAAAUCCUUGGAAGCGGACUUGAAAUCAUUGGCUCUGUCAAAUGACACUAAAGUGCCACUGCCUGCGAAAUGGAAAACCACAUUCAGUUCUGCUGAGAGGAGAAACAUUGAUGCAACGACUGAUGGAUUAUUCCUAUUCCUUCGUCCAAAACCCAAUGGCGCCACCAAGGAGAUUACCCAGGAAGUUGGGUACAGUGGCUUAGAAAAUCAAGGAGCAACCAGCUACCUGAACUCAGCUUUGCAGGUCCUCUUUAUGACCAAAGAAUUCAGAGAGGCAGUAGAAAGGUUGCAGAUUACACCAAAUGAUGAUGAGGUACUUUACCAACUGCAACAACUAUUUGAAAAUCUAAAAGCUGAUUACAAAUGUGU